GAUGAACGCUGGCGGCGUGCCUAACACAUGCAAGUCGAGCGGCAGCGCGAGUAGUUUACUACUUGGCGGCGAGCGGCGGACGGCUGAGUAACGCGUAGGAAUGUGCCCCAAAGUGAGGGAUAAGCACCGGAAACGGUGUCUAAUACCGCAUAUGGUCUUCGGAUUAAAGCUUCGGCGCUUUGGGAACAGCCUGCGUCCGAUUAGGUUGUUGGUGAGGUAAUAGCUCACCAAGCCGACGAUCGGUAGCUGGUCUGAGAGGAUGAUCAGCCAGACUGGAACUGAGACACGGUCCAGACUCCUACGGGAGGCAGCAGUGAGGAAUCUUCCACAAUGGGGGCAACCCUGAUGGAGCAACGCCGCGUGCAGGAUGAAGGCCUUCGGGUCGUAAACUGCUUUUAUUUAGUUGAAGAAUAUGACGGUAACUAAUGAAUAAGGAAUCGGCUAACUAACGUGCCACGCAGCCGCGGUAAGGCGACGA
rnacentral:rRNA from 1 species